rnacentral:misc_RNA from 1 species
GAAAUGCGAUAAGUAGUGUGAAUUGCAGAAUUCAGUGAAUCAUCGAAUCUUUGAACGCACAUUGCGCCCCUCGGUAUUCCGUGGGGCAUGCCUGUUCGAGCGUCAUCUACACCCUCAAGCUCUGCUUGGUGUUGGGCGUCUGUCCCGCCUCCGCGCGCGGACUCGCCCCAAAUGCAUUGGCAGCGGUUCCUUGCCCCCCUCUUUGCGCAGCACAUUACCAUUCGAGGCGGCGGCGGCCCGCGUCCAACAAGCUCAACCCCCCCGUCUUUGACCUCGGAUCAGGUAGGGAUACCCGCUGAACUUAAGC